AAAUAGAACUUUGCAGAGAGAGUUAACAGGGCGUGAAACCGUUAAUUGGCAAACGAAUCGGAGCCACGAAGUCGUUUCGUUGAUAGUUUGAUUGAGUUCAGUGUUUAUGUUGCUGCACAAGUAGCGUAAGCGCGUACUCUCAUGUUGAACCAUCUUUGUAAGCGUACACUGCAACUAGUUAGACGAUUGUUAAUGGGCCCAGUUGUUGUGAGAGGUAGUAGAUUGACUCCGUGAAUGCGGAUGCUUGAUUUGCUGGCUCGCAAUAAGUGAGCUAUUGACAAAUACUGACUAGCAAAAUGAAAAUCACCUUCAUUUGAAGUGUGUUGUAUAGACAAGGCGCUGGCAGCGCAUACUGUUACGCAGUUGGCGCGUAAGUUUUUAAAGUUCAGUACUUUUGAAUUUAGACUUGCUUGCUAUCAACGGGGCAACUCUUGGUGCAAGUAUAGCUUCUAUCUAAUCGGGUAUUGACUUGGCUUGCGUGAUAGUCAGCUGUGAAUCGUUUGAUGGUAUGCGUUAGUUAGUUGCAAUUUAAAUUGGCAGUGAGUAGGUCGGCUUUCCGAACGACCCGUCUUGAAACACGGACCAAGGAGUCUAGUUAGGCAUCGAGUCGAUCGGUCUUGAAUAGGCCAGCUUGUUGAGUGCGUACUGAUCGAAGGCGUAGAGAAUCAUGUGAUCUUGUGGCAAAAACCUAUGCUGCGAGCGCAACAUGUGCCUGCUCGUAUGCCAUUGUGCAACGUUUGGCUGGGCGGAGUAAAGAGAUGCUUGACUGGUACCCGAAAGAUGGUGAUGCUUGGGCAAAUUGAAGCCAGAGGAAACUCUGGUGGAGGAUUGUAGCGAUUCUGACGUGCAAAUCGAUCGUCAGACCUGAGUAUAGGGGCGAAAGACUAAUCGAACCAUC
rnacentral:rRNA from 1 species